GCGGCCGCGGGCCUGAAACGCCAAUCGUGCCCCGUCGGCCUCGGGGAGCCCUAGGGAGUGGUCAUUAAAGAGCCGGGGAGGGGGGACACCCCCCCCCGGUCGGGGGUUCCGGCCCUUCUCAAGCCGCUGUCCACUGCCCUAAAGCCCUCUACUUUCUCUUUAGCUGCUCUGCGCCCCAGGGUUUGCUAGAACCCUGGAGUGUAGAGGGAGGGAUUCCUCCUCUUUGCCCUCUCUGAGGUUCCCCCAGAAAUGUGACCCCCGCAAGAAUCCGUUCGGGCCGAAGUCCUUUUUUAAGGGGAUCAUUCCUAGAAUCAAAAGAUGCAAGUCUCUCUUAAGUCAGUCCUGAUAUGCUAUGAGAGCUGCUAAAAAGGCCAAACUGUGUUUCCUGCUGCCACCUGCAGAGAAUUGAGAAGCCUCUUACAUUUUUAUGAGUAAGAAUGAAUGAGAGGAAGAAGCCGAGUCUUGGUCCUCCUAAUAAAUGCAUAAGCGAUGAAGCCA